GGGGGUGGGUUUCAAUCUAGGGCGUGGAGUGAAAGGGAAACCGAACCGGACCCAAGUUUGGUUUCGGGCCAUGUCACCGAACAGCGAUCUCAAUUGAGGCCUGAUUCCUUUGGGUCAGACCAAAAUGCCCGGAACGGGCCUCAUUCUGGGUAGUUCCGGCCAAAAUGAAUGAGGCCUAAAGAGAUAAGUAGGGCAAAACCGUCCAAUUAUAUGGGCCGAGAAAAAGGAAGAGGAUAGAGG
rnacentral:lncRNA from 1 species